rnacentral:rRNA from 1 species
AACGAACGCUGGCGGCAGGCUUAACACAUGCAAGUCGAGCGCCCCGCAAGGGGAGCGGCAGACGGGUGAGUAACGCGUGGGAAUCUACCCAUCUCUACGGAAUAACGCAUGGAAACGUGUGCUAAUACCGUAUACGUCCUUCGGGAGAAAGAUUUAUCGGAGAUGGAUGAGCCCGAGUUGGAUUAGCUAGUUGGUGGGUUAAAGGCCUAACAAGGCGACGAUCCAUAGCUGGUCUGAGAGGAUGAUCAGCCACACUGGGACUGAGACACGGCCCAGACUCCUACGGGAGGCAGCAGUGGUGAAUAUGGGACAAUGGGCGCAAGCCUGAUCCAGCCAGGCCGCGUGAGUGAUGAAGGCCCUAGGGUUGUAAAGCUCUUUCACCGGUGAAGAUAAUGACGGUAACCGGAGAAGAAGCCCCGGCUAACUUCGUGCCAGCCGCCGCGGUAAUAC